GGCUUUGUAGUGUAGCGGUUAUCACACAGGAUUUUGAGAUGUGUGCAAACAUCUGUUGCUCACUUGAAGUUCCUGCAACCCCGGUUCGAUUCCGGGCAAGGCCU